rnacentral:rRNA from 1 species
AAAACCAACGAAAAAAACCCACGACCGAGGCAACGCACACCCUCCCUCCGCAAACCCUAGCCGCCGCACGAGGGAAGAGAUGAGGGACAGGACGUUGCGUCCACACAUCUCCGCCGCCGGCCAUGCACGGCCGCUCCUCCACGACGACACCAACCGUCCAGAAGCGGAGUCGCCGCCUCGACCCGGGGUCCCCCCGUCCCUGUCGUGGUCGGCGCCACGCCCAUCCCGAGGCACCACCCGCUCGUUGUCGGCACGCCCGAGCUUGCCAAGAAGUUCGCCGUGCCGCGGAGGGGCUCCUGGGGCCGAGAAGCAUAGCGGCGCCGGCGAUGCCGGGGUGCUCUUAUCACCCAAGGUUGUCAGGCCCAUCGCGCUCAACUUCGAGGAGAGGACGCCCGUCAAGGAGCGGCCCUCGCCAGCGCGGAGCUCGGCGUCGGUCAAGAAGAGCACCACCAUCAUGCCCAGGCUGGUGACACACGGCUGGAGCUUCAUUGCCGACAGGGCGACCCACCUCCUCCUCCACAGAACAAGAUCCCAAAGUGCUGGUUCCACCUGAGAAGAGCUCGAUGAGCUGCACGGCUCACGCACGAUGAGCAGGAGGCCCAGGGAGAAGGAGCCCUCCUUGCUGGUCUCCGGCCGGCGUCGGCAGCACAGCCCCCUCCCCCAAGAGGAGGCCCUCCUUGUCGGCCUCUCCCGUGCUGGUGCAAGGGAAGCUCAAUGCUCUCGGCAAGGAAACCAGGGAGCAGGCGCAGAAUCAAUGGCAAGCCGAGUCGACAGGUGACUUCACACAUCAGAUUGAAUCAAUGAUUACUGAAGUUUAUAGCCCUCCAAUGCAGUAUAUGUAUGCUUUACAAAAUUAUCCGAGUAUUGCAAAAUUGCAUGAUACAUCAAAUUGGAGCGUAGCCUACAUACUUAUGGACUGCGGACUUAUGUUGCUUAUUUAGAGGCUACCGUACAUGGAUCUGGAAAACUACAACUAUUUGGUGCAUGAUCUAAAAUAGCUGCAGGCUAAUCCUCCGCUAAUGUUCAUAAUGUUAUGUGGUACACAAUAUGGGUAAAGGAGAGCACAUUGCUCUAAUGUUUUUGCAUAUGAUAUUAAAUCAGACAUUUCAGUGGAUAAUAUAUGGUAUUGACUUGGACAUUGGUGCUGUGGAACAACCUAGCAGGUAUUGGAUCUUAUAGAAUUAUAGAGUUGGCAGGGUCUGAAAAUCAUGGUGUUGGUGUUUCAGCCUAUCAAACGCUAACCCGUCUCGCGGUACGCCACCGCCCGUCGCGGCCGCCCCACCUCCAGCCGCGGCCGCCGCCCCCACGUCCCACCGCGGUCGCUCCCCGCGCCAACGACCCCUUCCCCCGCCGCCGCGCCACGGGUCCACUUCGCCAUGAGCUCCAGCGCCAACCAUCCCGCCGCUGCUCGUGAUCCCCUCUUCCAUCAGCUCCACUUCACCGGAACCGAAAAUCAGCCAAGAUACACAACAAACAUAUCAACCGCAGCUAUCUGCUAUGCGCACAUGUGCGAAAACAAACUUAUUAAUCCUUUGCCGCAGACAAUACUGAAGCACUAACACAAACAAGAUCCUUCUGAAGGUAGUCUCUGAAUGCAAAUGAUCAUGACUUAUGAAUUUGGAGCCAUGGCCCAUGUGUAGGCAAGGGCAAUGAUCCCAUUUACUACUUGAGCGGUCCAACAGAGAUUAUUGAAGGUUGUUUCUGAAGUUGUGAUUGACUGGAACCAAAGGAAAGUUGGAGACUUUUUUGGUGUCAAUUGCUUGGAUUAAGUGGGAGUAAAGAUGUUCUUUCUGUCUAUAUCUGGUUCUAUUAUUGGCAAAUUUGUGCCUUUGAGAUUGCUGCGAGUGUUUGUGUUCUCGAGCUGAAAAUUUAGAUUAUUACCAUGUUUGGUCUCCUGAAUAUAAAUCAUGAUUCUUUGCAUCUCAAUUGCAGACCAGCAGACCUUUCCGUCCUCAUAUUCCCCGGAUUCGUUUUCUGCGAUCGAGCGCCCGAGUGGUUGCAUCUCGACGGCAGUUCCCUUUACAACCGAGUUAGCUUUAUACUAUGAGCAGUGAGCAAGUCAUGUAUAAAGCAAAAACAAAAUAUUGGUCUGCUAUCAAAUGGUACAUUUAUUUGAACUCUAAGGGCAGGUUCAGGGUCUCAUGAAGAGGGCAUGUGUUUGUAUUAGAAGUGUCGUAGUUGAGAAGCCUGAGAAGAAUAUAUCACUUAGAUCAGAAGGUUUUGCAGUUGACAAGCUUACAGAUUUGAGCACCCCGAACAACGGGGUGGACCCUUUGACCUGUGGGUUCUGCUGGUACCAAGAGAAGGAGGUUCCUUUUAACCUGCAGGAGCUCUACCAAUGGCAGCGUGCUUUCCUUGACAAUGACGUGGUACUGCACAUAUGCAAGAUGCAGCGAGUGAAAUCGGCGCAAGAGGGCAUCUUGCAAGCAGCACCAAAUCCUAUAUUAUGGGACCGAAUGCUGGGUGCAAAACUCCAACAAUACUUCCAUCUGCAGCAACAAACUCUGGUAGAGUUAACUCACGUCAGCAUAAGGCAUGAAGCUUUGGAAUUUGCAGAAAAAGUACUUACACUAAGAGGGCACCAUGGUACAUGUACGUGUCAAAAACAUCAAGUUCAAAACUUCGUGGCAUGCUUCCACCCAAUGAUUAGUCAACAUGAUAUCAAAUUUCAAGGUUGGGGAGAAUCAUAAUGGACUACUGUACAUAGAUGGACCUUGCUUGUGGCAGCACUAUAACUAUAUGUACAUAAAUUUGGUUCUGAUAUAUUCAUGCUAAUUUCCUAUAAUUAUUUCUGGGUGCAUUUGGAUGCAAGGAACCAUUGGUGCGCAUAUGCUACUGCCACAAAAUCAAUUUCCCAUCUACUUCUUAUUUCAGUCACAUGAAUGGGAUCAAUGCAAAGUAAGAUUGCAUUCUUAUUCCAUUUAUUAUUUCCCAAAUUAUUUAUCAUAGUUUAGACGGCAUACUCAUCUUGCUUCCAGUUUCCUCGAAUGGUCUCUCAAUCCAUGUACCAGAUCAUCAGAUGGCACGCAUGUAUGAUGUAUAUACUUUGCCUUUACUCUGCAUUUUUAUUUGUCCUUUGUUUAUGUUUCGAUGCCCAUAUUUCAGCAAUUAGCAAGUGCUUCAACAUACUAGGAAGAAGUUCUUGUGGUCCGGAGUUGGAAGGAUCAAUAAAAAUAGUAAUCAGUGACUUGCUUUCUUUCUGAAAACAUAUCUGAAAGGAGGCUUGUUUGAAGUUCUUGUGGUCCAGAGUUGGAAGGAUCAAUAAAAACAGUAAUCAGUGACUUGCUUUCUUUCUGAAAACAUAUCUGAAAGGAGGCUUGUUUGACAUAUGUUUCGAUGCUCAUAUUGCAGGGUUUAGUGACUGCAUCAACAUUGUAGGAAGAAGUUCUUGUUUUCUGGAGUUUGAAACAUCAGUAGUACGCUUUUGAGAUGCUCUUAGACCCUUUUUUUGACAAACACAACAAUGUAGCUACUCCAUUGAAUAACUUACCUUGUGUUGGUAUUCAUCGUUAUAAAUAACACUGAGUCUUGUUCAUCAUGAAUCUGUAUCAAUAUGUGUUGUGUUCUCUUUCAGAGAAGUGAACUUUGAGAACCCUGCUCAUUCCGAUCAAUGAAAAUUCCGAGGCUGAAAGUACAAACUUGAUAAGACAAAUUGAUAGACUUGGAGAAAAAAUGGGUGUAUUUGGACCUGGAUGGUAACAUAGGCAUAUUUGGAAUAGGGUGACGACGGAGCAGAAAUGGCCAAAAGAGUUUGAGUGGAAGGGCUUGUGGAAGAAGAUAUGGAAUGACAAC